AAAAUGGAAGAUAAGAAUUUUUUUAAAGAGAGAUUAAACUGCUUACUCAAGGUCACAGAGGUAAUAACUGUUGGAGAAGAGAUAAAAAACUAUAUCUUCUCACUCAAGACUAGGACUCUUUUCUUAAAACAUUAAUUGCCUGCUCUGAUUCAUACUACCUCUAUUUUCUUCUUCAAUUCAUAAAAGGAAAGAAUUAGGUCUAGAUUAUUUAGACAUUAUGACAUAAAUUUGGAGCUAAACCUAGAAAAUCAUAUUUUUCUUUCUAAAUUAAGAGGUCUCUCUCAAAAGAUUGGAUUUUUAAAGCAUGUUAUUGUAUGGAUGUCUUGGUAUUCUUUGAUUUUCAGGCACUAUCCUAGGGAAGACCUCAGGAGAGGACAGAACUCAUCCAAAUCUCUACUUAAAAUUCAACCCCUCCCUAAAGCAUUCAGGGAGGCACUUGAGGUUGUUGGAGCCCAGAGAGGAAGGAAGCAGGAAAAAGGGUAAAUCAACAAAAGAACAGAGCUUCUGUAUUGGUCUUUAUUUCUAAAAUGUUUCCUGCAUUGGUCAGACCACAUCUAUAUAGGAUAAGAGGAUAUUAAAAUUUUGAACUGGAAGGAAACAGAUUAUCUACAUCAAUCUCAUUUUAAAGUCAGAAUUCUCCAAAUUCAGAGCUUCAUGAAAUAUUUUUGUCAUCAACUUCAUAAAAUAUUAGAAGUAUAUAUAUAUAUACAUAUAUAUAUAUCUGCAGUAAACUCAUUUCAGACAUGGAUAAGAAUCUUUUGAGCCAACAACAUCCUACUGGACCACGUGCGUGUGCUCUGCUUGGACAUGCCUAGAGAUGCCCAGGAUUAUAUGAUUUGCCAUCCAAGAAUACAUCAGAUCCCAAAGUGAACCGGGCAGAGAAUGUUAGCAUCUCGAGUACUGGUCCAAGAAAGAUGUGUCUUCGUUUUUUGCAUCCCUGACAUAUAUCACUUGUUGGAGCACUCUCCAUUUUAUGGAGAUCAGAAAAAAUCUGGAGUGGAUCCCAAGAUGGUUCAGUUACUAAUGAUGGUGGCCAUUGAUGAGAACUGGACUUGGGCUUUUCUUGGUUAUUGAGACUGUGGCUCUGAGAUCCCACCUAUAUUUAGAAAAUGCAAAUUUCCCUUAGGGCAUGGACUGUUAUCCCAUCUAGAAGCUUUGCAGAAGAAUCAGAGGAUGGAGGACACUGAAUAGAAGACAAACCAAUGAGCCUAGACCUUAUGAAGAGGCAUUAGUGUAUUUAAAUGGUAGAAUUCCCAUGUGAAAGAAAUUGGGGAUUCUGCUUCCAGCACUAGUAAUGAAGUAUGAAAGUGCCUUGGGGAGAUUAGAAGCAUGUGCAGAUGUCCCCUAACUAAUUCCAGUCUGCUAAUCAUGUGGAGGAGUUUCUUUGAUUAGCUGCAGAACCAUAUCUUAGGGUACACCUAAACAGCAUUUGGCUGACCAGAACUUCAUCCUUCUAUUCAACCUGUUGGUGUUCUAAUGGGUGAAGAGAAACACUGAUGUAAGAUAAGAGGUCUUGGGUCCUCCUCAUAUAAGGCUCACAUGUGACCUGUGAGUAUGGGCUUUGAUUCUUUGUCUUACAUUUGUCCUUUCAUUUUAAUAAAUGAGUUUGGAGGCUAUGAUUUUGUGAGUUU
ensembl:lncRNA